ACGAUGAAGAGUUUGAUCCUGGCUCAGGAUGAACGCUAGCGGCAGGCUUAACACAUGCAAGUCGAGGGGUAACGGGGAAGCUUGCUUCCGCCGACGACCGGCGCACGGGUGCGUAACGCGUAUACAAUCUACCUUGUACUGGGGUAUAGCCUUUAGAAAUGAAGAUUAACCCCCCAUAGUCUCUUAGAGUGGCAUCACUUCUAGAGUAAAGGUUACGGUAUAAGAUGAGUAUGCGUUCUAUUAGUUUGUUGGUGUGGUAACGGCACACCAAGACUACGAUAGAUAGGGGCCCUGAGAGGGGGAUCCCCCACACUGGUACUGAGACACGGACCAGACUCCUACGGGAGGCAGCAGUGAGGAAUAUUGGACAAUGGAGGCAACUCUGAUCCAGCCAUGCCGCGUGCAGGAAGACUGCCCUAUGGGUUGUAAACUGCUUUUAUACAGGAAGAAACACCUCUACGUGUAGAGGCUUGACGGUACUGUAAGAAUAAGGAUCGGCUAACUCCGUGCCAGCAGCCGCGGUAAUACGGAGGAUCCAAGCGUUAUCCGGAAUCAUUGGGUUUAAAGGGUCCGUAGGUGGAUAAUUAAGUCAGAGGUGAAAUCUUGCAGCUCAACUGUAAAAUUGCCUUUGAAACUGGUUAUCUUGAGUUAUUAUGAAGUAGUUAGAAUAUGUAGUGUAGCGGUGAAAUGCAUAGAUAUUACAUAGAAUACCAAUUGCGAAGGCAGAUUACUAAUAAUCAACUGACACUGAUGGACGAAAGCGUGGGUAGCGAACAGGAUUAGAUACCCUGGUAGUCCACGCCGUAAACGAUGGUUACUAGCUGUUUGGACUUCGGUCUGAGUGGCUAAGCGAAAGUGAUAAGUAACCCACCUGGGGAGUACGUUCGCAAGAAUGAAACUCAAAGGAAUUGACGGGGGCCCGCACAAGCGGUGGAGCAUGUGGUUUAAUUCGAUGAUACGCGAGGAACCUUACCAGGGCUUAAAUGUAAGUUGCAUUAGUUAGAGAUAGCUAUUUCUUCGGACCACUUACAAGGUGCUGCAUGGUUGUCGUCAGCUCGUGCCGUGAGGUGUCAGGUUAAGUCCUAUAACGAGCGCAACCCCUGUUGUUAGUUGCCAGCGAGUCAUGUCGGGAACUCUAGCAAGACUGCCAGUGCAAACUGUGAGGAAGGUGGGGAUGACGUCAAAUCAUCACGGCCCUUACGUCCUGGGCUACACACGUGCUACAAUGGUAGGUACAGAGAGCAGCCACUGCGCGAGCAGGAGCGAAUCUAUAAAACCUAUCACAGUUCGGAUCGGAGUCUGCAACUCGACUCCGUGAAGCUGGAAUCGCUAGUAAUCGGAUAUCAGCCAUGAUCCGGUGAAUACGUUCCCGGGCCUUGUACACACCGCCCGUCAAGCCAUGGAAGUUGGAAGUGCCUGAAGUCCGUCACCGUAAGGAGCGGCCUAGGGUAAAGUCGAUAACUAGGGCUAAGUCGUAACAAGGUAGCCGUACCGGAAGGUGCGGCUGGAACACCUCCUUU
rnacentral:rRNA from 1 species